CUCUGAGCUGAGUUUCCUCUUCUCUUCUUUUCCCCCUUUCACCCCUGAUCUAGAGACACACCGUGUCAGCGACAACACUGCGGACUUGCUCUCUCUGCCUCUCCUCCCUUUAGUUCGUGGCCUCACGGUCUGUGGCUCAGCCUCUCCUCCCUCUCGGCAUCGCAAUCUGGGAUCUCGAUCCCUCAAUCUCGACAAGUGACUCACGGUACUCUCGCUGCUCGCUCACGAUUUCAGAUUCUUGGCCUCUCCUCCCUCACAGUGCUCAUUUCUUGGCCAGCUCGAUCUCAGCGACGGACUGCUCGCGACGGACUCCUCUAGGUGCCAGCGAGUCACGACGGCAAGUUGCUUCAGGUGCUUGCCCUCUGACUCCAUCAGCUUGCGAUUCAAGUCUCUGCUUCGGCCUUCAGGUCUGUAUCUAAAAUUCUACACUAAAUGAGGAGCGAUAUAUGGAGCCGAACAAAGUUACUUGAGAACAUUCCAAUGACAAGGAUUUCAACAACAUGCAAAGUUUUGAUCAACCACUAUCCUCUUACCAAAAAUGGGUUACUUGAGAACGUCAUAUGCCGUCAAGACCAUUAGAUGACAUUAGCGAAGGUAAUUUGCUGUAAUUCUACUAACACCUUUGCUAACAUAGUAAAAAUGUACUGAUGACAUGAAAAUAGGUUGACCAUGAAAAUAUAAGCAAUCUAGUACAUGUAAAUUUUUUCCCCUAUUUUAUCUCUUGUAUUUAUUAACCUAUAUCUUUGUGUAAAUAUAUCCCUCACUUAUCAUGGAGUACACCGGUAAUUUCUAGGGGCAAAAAGGAAAAACAAUAUAUAUUUUUAUGGGAAUGAGAACUUUAUUCGUAUGCAGAUUUUUCCUAAAAACUACUUAUAUUUUUUUAUCAAAGGAGUAAUUAAUUAAAAAUGAUCAGUUAAAAACUUUAGAUCCCAGCCAUUCAUUUCUGGACCAGUCAAAGUUCAAUCUCGCCACCAUGUAUGAUGUAUCACAAUUGAUAGUCCUCAUCAAACCCAACUAUCAUUUGAGGAUUUUUGGGAGGCACAAAGCUCCUCCUCUGCACAAUUGCACCCAUUGUUGAGCCACUGCCAGGGAUGAGACUUGCAUCAGGGUUAUUAGCAACAACAUAAAGGGUUGCUUGAAGGGUGCUGCGUCAGUGUAGGAGAUGAUUGGCUGAAUUGAGUAGUGGCUUGCUUCUCCUUUCCAUUUGACAGCACUGCAUCGGUGCAACAGACAACAGUGAAUCUCUGCUGGCCAAUGCAUCUGCAGCGAUUCAGGUGAACUGUGAUUCCUUGUUUUGGUUAAGCAAUGAUUAAACUUUGUGACCCCAGAAGAAAGUUAUACUUGAAUUGGAGGGUUUUUGCCAAAAUGUACUGUGCAAAUGAACAACUGCAGGACAUUUUAGAUAUAACUAGAAAAUUAUGCAAGGUUAUAAUGUCGUCUCCCACAUUAGCACUUGAUACUGCUCUUAAUCAAACUGGAAUUAGAGUUUCACCAGAUAUAGUUGAGAAUGUUCUUAAGAGAUUUGAGAAUGCUGGUAUGGUGGCGUAUAGGUUUUUUGAAUGGGCUGAGAAGCAGCAAAAUUACUCACACAGCAUCAGGGCAUACCACACAAUGAUCAAAUCUUUGGCAAAGAUAAGGCAGUAUCAAAUCAUGUGGGACCUGGUAAAUGCUAUGAAGAAAAAGGAAAUGCUAAAUGUUGAGACCUUUUGUAUUAUUAUGAGAAAUUAUGCUAGGGCUCAGAAGGUAGAUGAGGCCCUUUACACAUUUAAUGUCAUGGAAAAAUAUAAUAUAUCUCCGAAUCUAGCUGCCUUCAAUGGUUUGCUGAGCGCUUUAUGCAAGUCCAAGAAUGUAAGGAAGGCUCAAGAGAUCUUUGACCAUACAAAGGAUCGAUUUGUUCCAGACUCAAAAACUUACAGCAUAUUGCUUGAGGGAUGGGGAAAGGCUCCAAAUCUUCCAAAAGCAAGAGAGAUUUUCAGAGAAAUGGUUGACAUGGGAUGCAACCCUGAUAUAGUCACCUAUGGCAUAAUGGUUGACGUUCUUUGUAAAGCAGGAAGAGUUGAUGAGGCUGUUGAGGUUGUUAAGGACAUGGAUGCCAACAAUUGCAGGCCAACAUCUUUCAUUUAUAGUGUCCUGGUUCAUACAUAUGGAGUUGAACUUCGGAUUGAAGAUGCUAUUGAUACAUUCCUAGAGAUGGAAAGGAAUGGAGUUAAGGCAGAUAUUGUGGUUUAUAAUGCCUUGAUCAGUGCUUUUUGUAAAGUAAACAAAUUUAAAAACGUGUAUAGAGUCUUAAACGAAAUGGAAUGCAAGGGUGUCAUUCCUAAUUCUAGGACCUAUAACAUAAUCAUAAGCAGCUUGAUUGGUAAUGAUGAGAGUGAUGAGGCUUAUGGUGUCUUCCGCAGGAUGAUCAAGUCUUGCGAACCAGAUGCUGAUACUUAUACAAUGAUGAUAAAAAUGUUUUGUGAGGGAAAUGAUUUGGAGAGGGCUCUGAAGAUAUGGAAAUAUAUGAAACUAAAACGGUUUGUCCCAAGCAUGCACACUUUUGCAGUGCUUAUAAAUGGGCUGUGUGAGAAGGGCAAUGUUACAGAAGCUUGUGUUUUAUUGGAGGAUAUGAUAGAGAAGGGAAUUCGGCCAUCAGGUGUCACAUUUGGGAAGCUAAGACAGUUGCUUAUUAAGGAAGGAAGAGAAGAUGUGCUCAAAUUUCUUCAGGAGAAGAUGAAUCUUCUUGUCAAGGAGCCGCUGUGUGACUAAAAAGCAUUCCUGGAAACCAGAAACUGGUAACAUGUUAUAAAUGUGGUGAGGCAAUCAAUUUUGCAGCCAAUACUGUUGGAUUUUGAUGCCCUAUCGAUUAGGUUGGAUAUUAGCUGCUGACAGGUCAACUUUUCCCCUUUCACUGCCUGCAGUUGUUUGAAUAUUUGUGCACAUCUUUUAUUGUGCCAGUUUUUUAUUAUAAUCCACAUGUAAUUGCCACAUAGUGCUACAUCAAUCGUUACAGAAGAACAGUCAGAUGGACAUUUGGUUAAGUUUUCAAAAGUCAAAACAAGCAAGGAAUCUGGAAGUGGAAGAAGGGGACAGAGAAUUACAAAGUUGGGUGAACACCUGGCAGGGCUUGCCCAGGUUUACACUUGAUCUUUGUAUUUCAGUACAAUGCAUGCCCAUCCUGAUGGCCUAGUGGCAUACAUCUCGCCUGACACCAGAUCUCUAGCACAAUCCCACAUGCAACCUUUUAUAAUUUAAAGAUAAAGGAUCAACAUUUUUAUGAGUAAAGAUCAAAGCUGCUACACGGUGUUAUGUAUAGAGAUUAAAGCUCACUGUGUGUUGAUGGCGAAAAGAAUUCCCUUUAUCAAAUCAUGUGGACUUGAAACCAGGAGCUUCAAAUACACUUCGUGAUCUUAGUCAGAUCUUCAUUUUUCAUUGGGCAAAAAGAAAAAGCUAUUCAUUUUUCAAUUGGCUAAGAACCAUAAUAUAUUAUUCGCCAUGCACAAGUGCCUGUUAGUUGUAUUCCGAUGCUGGAAAUCGUGAUUUUGAAGUCCAAACCACGUUUUGCCAAGAGCGGUUACCGAUCGCCGCAAUUUCUGAAACCAUAUUUAGGAACUUUAAAACCAAGCACAUUUUGACUUCGAAUCACGUUUAAGAUCAAAACCUUGAUUAGGGAAGGGGUGACAUACAGCGUGAGUUUGAAUUGUAAGUUAUAAAACGGAAGUUUUUACUAUAAAGGUUUGUUUGUAUAUCCAUUAGAAAAAAAUUAGUUAUCAUGAUUGAUUUUGAAUAUAAUUGAUUAUGCUAUUUUUUAAAA